GGUGCUGUAGUUCAGUGGUAGAGUGCUUGUCUAGCACAUUCAAGACCCUAGAUUUGAAUCCCAGCACCACCA
rnacentral:tRNA from 1 species